GGGUGAGUAACGCGUGAGGAACCUGCCUUGAAGAGGGGGACAACAGUUGGAAACGACUGCUAAUACCGCAUGACGCACAGAGGUCGCAUGAUCUUUAUGCCAAAGAUUUAUCGCUUCAAGAUGGCCUCGCGUCUGAUUAGCUGGUUGGCGGGGUAACGGCCCACCAAGGCGACGAUCAGUAGCCGGACUGAGAGGUUGAACGGCCACAUUGGGACUGAGAUACGGCCCAGACUCCUACGGGAGGCAGCAGUGGGGAAUAUUGGGCAAUGGGCGCAAGCCUGACCCAGCAACGCCGCGUGAAGGAAGAAGGCUUUCGGGUUGUAAACUUCUUUUAAGAGGGAAGAGCAGAAGACGGUACCUCUAGAAUAAGCCACGGCUAACUACGUGCCAGCAGCCGCGGUAAUACGUAGGUGGCAAGCGUUGUCCGGAUUUACUGGGUGUAAAGGGCGUGCAGCCGGGUCUGCAAGUCAGAUGUGAAAUCCAUGGGCUCAACCCAUGAACUGCAUUUGAAACUGUAGAUCUUGAGUGUCGGAGGGGCAAUCGGAAUUCCUAGUGUAGCGGUGAAAUGCGUAGAUAUUAGGAGGAACACCAGUGGCGAAGGCGGAUUGCUGGACGAUAACUGACGGUGAGGCGCGAAAGUGUGGGGAGCAAACAGGAUUAGAUACCCUGGUAGUCCACACUGUAAACGAUGAAUACUAGGUGUGCGGGGACU
rnacentral:rRNA from 1 species